rnacentral:lncRNA from 1 species
GAGCGUCCUUUCCCAGCGGUGGUAUUAGUGAAGCCCUCGCGCUGUUGGUGGCGGCAGAGGAGAGGGAAGAGAGUAGGGUUUUGAGGUGGGAUGGUAGGUGGAGUGGGGAGCGUAGAGCGUGGUGUUCGAGCAGUCAUACUGUAGAUAAGUUGGUGCGGCUUCGGUAGUGUAGCAGUGAUGAUUGCUGAGAAAAUUGAGAAAGAAGAAGAGGGCGAGGGAGAUGAUGAAGCGAAAAUUCAUGGUCUGAUGAUCUUUAUUUGCCUGCGGGACUGGGCAUAGAAUUUGCGAAAGAAGAAGAGUAUGUCCAGUUCUCCGGAGAAAAACAAAAAUGUUACAGGUGAGAAAAAGUAAUCGUACUAGUGUGAUGAAGAUUUUGUGGCCCAAAAGAAUCGUGAGAUGAGGGUUUCAAU